rnacentral:rRNA from 1 species
AGCUACAGGCUUAACACAUGCAAGUCGAGGGGCAGCAUGGUCUUAGCUUGCUAAGGCUGAUGGCGACCGGCGCACGGGUGAGUAACACGUAUCCAACCUGCCGUCUACUCUUGGCCAGCCUUCUGAAAGGAAGAUUAAUCCAGGAUGGGAUCAUGAGUUCACAUGUCCGCAUGAUUAAAGGUAUUUUCCGGUAGACGAUGGGGAUGCGUUCCAUUAGAUAGUAGGCGGGGUAACGGCCCACCUAGUCAACGAUGGAUAGGGGUUCUGAGAGGAAGGUCCCCCACAUUGGAACUGAGACACGGUCCAAACUCCUACGGGAGGCAGCAGUGAGGAAUAUUGGUCAAUGGGCGAUGGCCUGAACCAGCCAAGUAGCGUGAAGGAUGACUGCCCUAUGGGUUGUAAACUUCUUUUAUAAAGGAAUAAAGUCGGGUAUGCAUACCCG